GAGCGUUUGCUUGGCUGGCGUCGCGAGACCAAAAGAGAGCUCCCAAUGGCUUCUCUCCUCUUCUCCCCUUCUCGUCUUCCCACAUCGCUCUAUUCCACUCUCGCCCUAUUCAUCUAUUCCCCAAAUCCCCACCGCCACCAUUCCCAAUCCCUUUCUUCCAAUAAGACGCCCACGAAGGACCGCGCCCUCAUCGUCUCAUCCGCCCUCGCCGAGUCCAAUUCUUCCAAAUCCCUCGACGGCGGCGGCCGCGGCGAAGGCGGAAGCGACGACGAUGAUCUUCUCCCCCUCCUCCGAGAGCUCUCCGAUUGUCUGCUUCUCCCUCCGGAUUAUCUAUCCAGUCUUCCUCGCGAUCUCCGGCUUGAUUUGAAUGAUGCGGCAUUUGAUCUCUCCAACGGGCCUGUCUUGGAUGACUGUGGUGAGGUGGUGGGCGAGUUGCUUCUAAAUCUUUCCAGAGCAUGGGAACAAGCUGACACUUCGACUUCAAAUAGCCUAGCGAGGCAGCUGCCGUCAAUGGAGAGCUUUUUGACAAAAAAUGUCAAAGCAUCACUUGGCAAACGCUUGGUAUCCGCUGGAAGGAGAUUUCAGGCAAUGGGACAGUAUGCUGAUGGAGAGCCACAAAAGAUUGCCACAACAAUGAUUAAAAUUGGAAAGCAGCUAUCUAGAGGUCCAGUGGUUACAGGGGAUGAGGAGCCCAAAAUGGAAACCAGGACCCUGAAGUUUGGUGAAUUGCAGGUUGAGUUGACUUCGAAAAAGGCCUUUAUUGGUGCUGGAAUUGGUUUAGUGUUUGGGAUCCUCUCAUGGCAAAUAAGUCAGGGCAUCGAAAACAUACCAGAAAGCUCCUUAGAAUAUGCCAAUGAUAAUGCAUUGUUACUGGCAAAGUCACUAAGGGGAGCUCUUCUUGCCUUAUUCUAUUCAUCUGCGGCUUUAUCAGUAUUUACUUCAAUAGGGCUUGUUUUGUUAGGAAGACAACUGAGCUCUGAAAGCAAAUGACAGAAAAUGUUGUUGCUUAGAGAUGGUAUUAGUCUCUCACCUCCAAGUGCAUUCUUAGUGAACCAAUAUGUAGGAGUUGUUUGCAAACACAGGUGGCGAAUCAAACUUGUCUAGGACUUUUAUUGGGUUUAUCAAACUACUGUGGAAUUACUCAAUAAAAACAAUUCAAGGGAACAUUUUAUAGGAAAAGUCAAAUGUAUUUAAAUUACACAACUCAAAUAGUUGGCUGUGAUGGUCAAGAAGAGCCAACUCAACAGAACAAUUUUUUCAUCCAAGUUCAAAUACGGCAAACCAUAAUUCUCAUUUUCUAAGGAAUAAGCCAUAUAAUCGCAUCAGCUUCCCACGUGGCAUGGUCCACCAGCAGUUCUUGUAUCCUUUCAUUAGAUAGCGGAGAUCAUCUUCAACUUUCCCCAUUACCUAUGAGUUUAGUACUUUUAACUUACCCAUCAUUGGCCUUUGAAGCCCGCAAUAACAAAUUUCUUUUACUAUCAGCGAUCCUUGUGUUUCAUGAUGCCCUAUUAAAUUAAUCUUCUGUUGUACAUCAUGUGUGUGUAAGUUUCCAGGAAUUUCAGAUAUUGUUCGCUUUAUGGAGGCAGUUAUCACUACUCCGAGGAAGGAAUGAUUACGGAAGAGUAUUAAAGUGUAUUUAUUCUUCGGAAGUAGUUUGGAUCAUUUUAUUGGUGGUCAAAUGAAAUCCAUAGCUUGUUGCUUACUUAUUUAUGCACAAGCUUUUUAUGGCUUCUCUUUAUAUUUUUUUUCCAAAGUUCUUUUCUCUCUCUUAAGGUUGAUGUUACCUGCCAUUGUUUUGAUGCAAGAGUCGGUUGAGAUGCUUGUGUUUUAAAGUAGUUUAGUUCAAUAGACCCACAAUUUGGGGAUGAAUAAAAUGGGUUUAUUUUUUCA